UUUAAUUUUUCCUGUUCGUAUUGCCCCCUUUACUCUUCUUUAUUGGUGAGAGUGGAGGGGGAGGUGCCUGGUGAGCUAAUUAAGAUAAGAAGAACAGAAAGGUUGAGGUGAAGGGUAGGUGGGAAUGUUAGUUCUACACUUGUGGCCGCAAUUACGCAGACGAAGAAGAAUUGAGAUGAAGAGAUGAGAUGAGAUGAAUAAACAAACAAGUGGCCCCUUCUCCAUUUCUGAACCUCUAGCUAUUAUGAUCCCUCCCUCACCUCACGCUCAUGUCUCUGGCAAGUUCGAUGGUGAGAUGGAUAUUGAGGCUGUUCAGCUCGCUGAUCGGGGAGCCAGUUGCUUCGGUGUCCACCUUGCUCUAUUACAGCGGCCUUCUUCCUCCCAACACCGUCCUCAUCAGGCUGGUCCGCCGCGACUUGCUUCAUCAUGACAAUUACCUCUUCCGUUUUAUCAUCCACCUCCUGUCUUUAAUCUGAACUUCUUUUACAUGAUCUGAACCCCCCCCCCCCCGGGCCAGCGCUUCUGGGAACAACAAGGUGACACUGGAUCACUACUUUGUGAGGGAUGCUUCUUAUGUAGAUGAGUUCGUUAAUUAAGUGUUGGGAAGUUAACUUGGAUGUGUACCUAUUUAUUAAAUAAAUCACAGCAGCAUCUAGUUUGCUAAUCCUGCUUUUGUUGUUGUCUCCAUGGCUGUGAGGAGGAAGACAACAUUUUACUCCAGCUUUUAGGUUUUAUAUAGAUUUUUUAUUUGUCAUCUCAUACUUGCUAUUAUUAAACAUGUACAGAUGUAAAGACUGGCUUCAUUUCUUA